rnacentral:rRNA from 1 species
GAUGAACGCUAGCGGCAGGCCUAAUACAUGCAAGUCGAACGAGAUUUUAUCUUUCGGGAUAAAUGACAGUGGCGCACGGGUGCGUAACGCGUAUGCAACCUACCCUUAACAGGGGGAUAGCCCGGAGAAAUUCGGAUUAAUACCCCAUAGUAUCUUAAGACAGCAUUGUUUAAAGAUUAAAGAUUUAUCGGUUAAGGAUGGGCAUGCGUGACAUUAGCUAGUUGGUGAGGUAACGGCUCACCAAGGCUACGAUGUCUAGGGGUUCUGAGAGGAUGAUCCCCCACACUGGUACUGAGAUACGGACCAG